GACGAACGCUGGCGGCGUGCUUAACACAUGCCAGUCGAACGAAGAGCGAUGGAAGCUUGCUUCUAUCAAUCUUAGUGGCGAACGGGUGAGUAACGCGUAAUCAACCUGCCCUUCAGAGGGGGACAACAGUUGGAAACGACUGCUAAUACCGCAUACGAUCUAAUCUCGGCAUCGAGGAUAGAUGAAAGGUGGCCUCUACAUGUAAGCUAUCACUGAAGGAGGGGAUUGCGUCUGAUUAGCUAGUUGGAGGGGUAACGGCCCACCAAGGCGAUGAUCAGUAGCCGGUCUGAGAGGAUGAACGGCCACAUUGGGACUGAGACACGGCCCAGACUCCUACGGGAGGCAGCAGGGGGGAAUCUUCCGCAAUGGACGAAAGUCUGACGGAGCAACGCCGCGGGAGUGAUGACGGCCUUCGGGUUGUAAAGCUCGGUUAAUCGGGACGAAAGGCCUUCUUGCGAAUAGUGAGAAGGAUUGACGGUACCGGAAGAGAAAGCCACGGCUAACUACGUG
rnacentral:rRNA from 1 species